AAAAUCUCAAGCAGGCUCCGCACUCAGCACGGAGCCCCUAAUGUGGGGCUCCAUCCCACGACCCCAGGAUCAUGACCCGAGCUGAAAUCAGACGCCCCACCGACUGAGCCCCCCCAGGUGCCUGCUAGCGUGUCAGUGUUUAUUGAAAGCAAAAUUGGUUCUCCUGAGAUGAGCACCAUUCACCCCAUAGCUGUCCAUCCUCUCAGGGAUUGUGUGUGUGCGUGUGUGUGUGUGUGUGUGUGUGUGUGUGUGUGUGUGUGUGGCUUUCAGCAGUUCGGAGACCAAGACCUGCUUUGAGCCGUCAGCGGUUCCAGAGUGAGCUGUUUAAAGAACCAAAUGGUAACUGGGCAUCACUGUGACCCCUGCAUGUCACCAGAGGAGCCGUGAGCCGUCCUCGGGGAAUAGUGGCAGAAUGAGUCACUGGGGCCACGGAGCUUGGACGCAGGGAGCAGCACUUGUUACCAUAAGUUAUAGCUGUUUACAAACCCGUUAUCAUUUCACACCCGUUAUCUCCUUAGCCCAUUGAGGCCGGGAGGAAGGAAGAGAGGGUAUUAAAUCCUGUUUAUGUCCUGUGGAUGAGAACGAGGGUCAGGUGGGUGAGGGGCUUUCCCAGGUUCCCGUGGAGCAGAGUUGGCACCAGAGUGAGUUCCCAUGUCUCCAGGCCCGGUCCUGCUGUCCUCGGACCAUGUGGGGGCGGGGGGGCUCCUAGGUGGGAAGCGGGAGACUUCGUGGAAGGACGAGAGCGUGAUGCAGCCCGUGGAUACUUGGCUUACGGUUAUUCCGGCACAUCCUGGGCACAGUGUGCUUGUCAACUUCGCCUUGUCACCCACGCCGUCUGGCCAGCCACGCACAGUUGUCUCUGUUCCUUCAGUGCUCCCGCGGGGACAGCGACACCAGCACCCUGGGCUGGAGGAAGGCCUUCUGGGCAUGGGGAGGCCUUCCCACUGGCUGGGAGCCCGCAGGCCGGGGAGGGGUGUGAGUGGGGGCCCCCAGCCUUUGCUCCACCUGACCCCUCCCUCCCCCGAGCACUGGGCUCCGAGGCCUCCUUCAGCCAGCACACGGUCGGGGUCCGUUUGGGUCCCUCCAGGACUCUGAAGAUCCAGCCCCAGGGCGUCCUCCUGGAGCUGGGGGCGCAGCCGGGAGAGGAGGCGGGCGCGCUGCUGGAGGUUUGUGUCCCCAAGUCCCCUGGCACUGCUGGGAACGUUCUCUGAGGAUUUAUUGGUAUUUUAGAGUUUUAAGAAGGAUAGAUGGUAUCUAGAUGUUGUGUUCCACGAAAACCAAUAUUGAUCUCUUAAAAAUAUGUGAGACCAAGGGGCGCCUGGGUGGCUCAGUCCAUUAGGGGUCCGACUUCGGCUCAGGUCACGAUCUCAUGGUUCGUGGGUUCGAGCCCCGCGUCGGGCUCUGUGCUGACGGCUCGGAGCCUGGUGCCUGCUUCGGAUUCUGUGUCUCCCUCUCUCUCUGCCCCUUCCCCCCUCAAAAAUAAGUAAACAUUAAAACUCUGUUCAACCAAAAGUGUACCCCCAUCUCCUUGCAAGGCAGAAAUGCCUUGUGUGAACGCCCGCGGUGUCCCAGACACAGGGGAGCCCAGGGGAGCUGGGCCUCUGCUCUGAGGGACGCCCGAGCCUGCAGGGUGGGCCGCUGGGGUCGGGGUUACACUCUGUCUCCUGCCUGUGGAUCAUUAGCUCUUAGUUUUCUCCUUGUACUUUCGACAUCACAGCUGCCUUCUCUGGGGCGUCCCCUUGCUGACUCCCAGUGUUAGUCUUCUGCCCAGUACACGUCUGAGCGCUUCAUAGGGAAGGAGCGCUGGCCAGCCGUGUCACAGACCUUCGGAAUCCGAGCUGGCUGGCGGUAUUCUGUAAAAUUCCAUGGUGUAUGUUUUUCCCCCUUGACAUCUGGCUCUGGGAACAGAACUGCCAGCUGAGAGGCUGGCCAGGACUGCACUGGGUGUGGUCCCAGAAAGUGGAGCUGUCCCAGGCCGGCCCGGGGGAGAUUGUGGGCUCCCGCAAAGUACAGCAAUCAUCAUAGAGAAAGAAUUAGCAAGAAGAUCCCUCGCUCCAGAAUUGUACGGUAUCCGCCUUAGCCGUUCAAAAGACAAAAUCAUUUCCUCAAAAACAAACCUUCUUGAAAGUCAUAUAGUCUUGGGAUGGCCAUCAAAGGCAGAAAACAAAAGAAGUUUGCCUUGACAACAUCUGAACAACUGAAUGACUUUUGAGCACAACAAACACUUUAGCCAAAGUUAAAGGCAAAUAAAAAACAAAAUAGUUAAUGACAUAUGGCAAAGGGUUGUCUUUUAUAUACAAAGAGCUCUUAUGAAGCAAUAAGUAAUUCCCCAACAAAAGGAAUGGGCACAGACUCAUCAAAAGAAAUAAUGGGGCAGAUAGUGUGUAAGUAUAUUUAGCUUUACUAAGAACCAAUUGAAGUGAUGAGGUGACUUUUUCUUAAACCCACUGAAGUACAGGGGCGCCUGGGUGGUUCAGUUGGUUAAGCGCCUGACUCUUGAUUUCGGCUCAGGUCAUGAUCGCAGGGUGGUGAGAUCGAGCCCCAUAUCUGGCUCCUCACUGAGUAUG